rnacentral:ncRNA from 1 species
CGGGACAUGGUGGUGGAUGACAAUGUUAGGAAAUCUGGAGAUGUCAUUGGGGGCCUGGGAAGAGUUAUCUUUUCUUUUUAAUGACUUUCCCACCCUAAAAUCAGUUCAACCGGAGAUAGGGUCCAACAUUUGGAAGAGCUCCACAUGUCUUGCAAUGUUUGGUGCCCCCUCGAUGGCCAUUGAAAAUAUGGAGAACCGAGUACCAUCCAUGCCCGAUCGUACUCAUAUCUGCCUCC